AUGGCUCUUACUGAAGACUAGCAGUUAUACACUGUAGCUGUUGGUUUCAAGCAGACGCCUAGAGAACUGUCUUCCAGUGGUUUAUUAGCUACUCUGGACUUCAGUAGAGAAUGACUAUUUCAUUUGGAAGAAACAACC
ensembl:snoRNA Snora34 small nucleolar RNA, H/ACA box 34